GGGCUGGCUGAGGCGCUGGCGCUGGUACGUCAAGGUAGUCGGCAUCGACAGGCCAGACCAGGAGAUGCGGACACCUCUGCAUCUGGCUUCGGCCAAUGGCCAUGCAGAUGUCGUCAGAUAUCUGCUAAGAAAGAACAGCCAGCCCAACCUCGCUGACAGCUUCAAGAGAACGGCCCUGAUGAAGGCAGUCCAGCAGGAGCAGGAAGAAUGUGUUGCUCUUCUGCUGGCACACGGUGCCGACCCCAAC